GGGCCGUAGGUCCCAGGCUAUCUACUUCCGCUUCCCUCCCAAACACGUUCCAGCGUGUUAGGGAGGACACGCUGGAGCGUGUUAGGGAGGGAAGCGGAAGUAGAGAGCCUGGCUUGCGAGGUUG